UACGAAGGGGGCUAGCGUUGCUCGGAAUCACUGGGCGUAAAGGGCGCGUAGGCGGCCGAUUAAGUCGGGGGUGAAAGCCUGUGGCUCAACCACAGAAUUGCCUCGAUACUGGUUGGCUUGAGACCGGAAGAGGACAGCGGAACUGCGAGUGUAGAGGUGAAAUUCGUAGAUAUUCGCAAGAACACCAGUGGCGAAGGCGGCUGUCUGGUCCGGUUCUGACGCUGAGGCGCGAAAGCGUGGGGAGCAAACAGG
rnacentral:rRNA from 1 species